UUCGUGCUGUAGCCUACACGCACAUCUCUAUGAAAUAAUGUAGCCUGUCAAGGCUAAUCCAUAUUUUAAAUAAGCAAUCAUGGAGACAAAAAUAGGCUAUAUGAAUAGGCCUAGGCCUAAUGCAGGAAUGGACGUUACAGUUAUUCAGUAACUGUAACGAAUUAAUGAAAUUUAAAUGUAGGCUACCUUUAGACUAGCCUACUUCGUUUCCCAAUAAAGUAACGAAAUUACAUUAACGACGCACAACAUAGGCCUAUUGAACUUAGUUUUGGUAGAUGAUGGACAGAUGUCAGUGCCCUAGCCUAAUUUAGGCUACCCUCGGAAAUAAUUCGACAUUGCCUUUAUACAAUAUAUUUAACUGGUCUAGACAUGGUGUGGUCUAUUGGGUUUCUCGUAAUUUCAACAUACAGCUUUAAAGAACAAAUAUUGAUAACAUUUUAGGAUCAGCGCCAUAGGAUUCCCACGGUAGCCAGCGUCUGUGAUGACACCUGAGCUUAUUAAAAUGGCGACCAUAGUCAUAGAACGUACUUCAACAUAUCCAACAUAUUUUCUAGCCAGUAAUCCAUCUUGCGCGUAGCGCUCUAGAAUCUUUGCUUUACUCCUUGUCACCAUCGUGAAUCAUUUUUAAUACCUCUUAAGUAGUUUUACUAUUUCUACUUUGUCCUUAAUCUUUCCUCAUUUUUUUCACGUCUUUAUCCACUUCUUUUGAACGCCGCUCACACUACUAAAUUUGGAGGCAGCAAUCUGAAGGGGAAGAAGAAGCUGCCACUGCUCGGAACACAUGCAGCACAAUAAAACGCCGGGCAGCAGCAGUAGGAGGAGGGGGAGGAUAGCAGCAGCACGUCAAGUCAUCGGCAGGAACUCUCAAAUUAAAUUAAUUUAAAUAAAU